rnacentral:rRNA from 3 species
CGAGACCUCAGGUCAGGCGGGGCUACCCGCUGAAUUUAAGCAUAUCAAUAAGCGGAGGAAAAAGAAACUAACAAGGAUUCCCUUAGUAACGG